GACUUAAAAAAUCCGUCGACUUUAGAAAUCGUGAGGGUUCAAGUCCCUCUAUCCCUA
rnacentral:tRNA from 1 species